rnacentral:rRNA from 1 species
CAAGCCUAAGUACUCGUGUGUGACCGAUAGCGAACUAGUACCGUGAGGGAAAGGUGAAAAGCACCCCGGCAAGGGGAGUGAAAGAGACCUGAAACCGGAUGCCUACAAACAGAUGGAGCCGGCUCACCAAAGGUGAGCGGACUUCGUCUUCCUUGUUUAACGCAAAUGAGUGUGUGUGAUCGAUGUGAUCGAACAACGAUCGCGCAUGACAUUUGUUGUUAUCGAGGGAGAUGUGGUUCGCCCGUUUUUGGCGAGCCGGUGACAUCGUACCUUUUGUAUAAUGGGUCAGCGAGUUCGUCUGUCUAGCAAGCUUAAGCCGUAAGGCGGAGGCGCAGCGAAAGCGAGUCUGAAUAGGGCGACUGAGUUAGACGGAUGAGACCCGAAAGCAAGUGAUCUAGCCAUGACCAGGUUGAAGGUGCGGUAACACGCACUGGAGGACCGAACCCACGCCUGUUGAAAAAGACGGGGAUGAGUUGUGGCUAGGGGUGAAAGGCCAAUCAAACUUGCAGAUAGCUGGUUCUCUGCGAAAGCUAUUUAGGUAGCGCCUCGUAUAUCACCAUUGGGGGUAGAGCACUGGAUGGGCUAGGGGGCUUCACCGCUUACCAAACCUAACCAAACUCCGAAUACCAAUGAGUGCUGAGUACGGGAGACACACGGCGGGUGCUAACGUCCGUCGUGAAGAGGGAUAAAAACCCUGACCUACAGCUAAGGCCCCCAAUUCAUGGCUAAGUUGGAAAGGAUGUGAGGUUCCCAAAACAAUCAGGAUGUUGGCUUAGAAGCAGCCAUCAUUUAAAGAAAGCGUAACAGCUCACUGAUCUAAAUAAGGAACUUUGCGCCGAAGAUGUAACGGGGCUAAAGCCACGAGCCGAAGCUUAGGAUUCACAGCAAUGUGAAUGGUAGCAGAGUGUUCUGUAUGCCUGCGAAGGGUGAGCGUGAGCGAGCCUGGAGGUAUCAGAAGUAAGAAUGCUGACAUGAGUAGCGAUAAAGAGGGUGAGAGACCCUCUCGCCGGAAGUCCAAGGGUUCCUGCGUCAAGUUAAUCUGCGCAGGGUUAGCCGGACCCUAAGGCCAGGCCGAAAGGCGUAGCCGAUGGGAAUGCGGUAAAUAUUCCGCAGCCUGUGGGAAGUGACGGAUCUCGUAAAUUGUUCGCCCUUACUGGAUUGGGCGGGCCGUGAAGAGGUCCCAGGAAAUAGCUCCCACGUAUAGUCCGUACCCCAAACCGACACAGGUGGACUGGCAGAGUAUGCUAAGGCGCUUGAGAGAACUUUGUUGAAGGAACUAGGCAAAUUGCCCUCGUAACUUCGGAAGAAGAGGGCCCGGUAUCGACGCAAGUCUUUGCCGGGGGCACAUAGCAGGGGGUGGCGACUGUUUACUAAAAACACAGGGCGCUGCGAAAUCCAAAGAUGACGUAUAGCGUCUGACGCCUGCCCGGUGCUGGAAGGUUAAGAGGAGAUGUGAAAGCGUUGAAUCGAAGCCCCAGUAAACGGCGGCCGUAACUAUAACGGUCCUAAGGUAGCGAAAUUCCUUGUCGGGUAAGUUCCGACCUGCACGAAAGGCGUAACGACUUCCCCACUGUCUCCAACA